rnacentral:ncRNA from 1 species
UAUUCAUUGCGGUCCGCAUACCCUUGGAUUUCCUCAGCAUUUCGGAUCAUCCUGGCGUCCUGCAGCCAUUGUUUUACAAGGUGUUGUCAUAUGAAGAAGGCUUCUUUGGAUAAGUCUGGUGCCAGUAGCCACGGUACCUCCAGCUCCAAUAGCGUAUGUUAAAGUUGCUGCAGUUAAAUACUCGUAGUUGGAUCUCGGUAUGCCUGUCGCCUGCAAAUCCUCGGCUGAUUGUGUCGGUGCCAGUCGGACCUUGCUUCGCUCGGUGUCCCUUGCCCAGGCAUGGUUAUGCUCGAGUUGGUGGGUAGGUGGUGUCACCUUUCAGCCAUGUCUGUGGUGAAAUACCCGCAGGGUAGGCGAUUGACAGGUGGUGCUCUGCGACAGUAGGGUUCGUCAACUCGUCUGCAUGCCUUUGGAUGUUCUUAAAAAUGUGUUUAUGGGCAGAUAGCACGUUUAUGUUGAGCACAUUUGAUGGCGCAAACUAGGCAGUUGUUAGCUAAAAUGUUUUGCAUGGAAUAAUGGAAUAAGAUUUUGGUUCUAUUUCGUUGGUUUUCGGAUGCGAAGUAAUGAUCAAAAGUGACAGGCCGGGACGUUUGUAUGGUUGCGCUAGAUGUAAAUUCAUUGACUGUAACCAAACAAACUAAAGCAAAGGCAUUCCUCAAGCACAUUUUCAGGGGCCAUGAGUGAAAAUCGAAGGCUUGAAGGCGAUCAGAUACCAUCCUAGUGCUGACCAUAAACGAUGCCAACUUAUGAUCCGUAGUGGUAUUUUUUUUAACUAUCCCCACGGGCAGUCCCCGGAAAACCUUAAAGUCUUUGGGUUUUGCGGGAACGAUGGUUUCAAAGCUAAAACAUAAAGGAAAUGACGGAAGGGAAUCACCAGGCGUGCAGCCUGCGGCUUAAUAAACUCAACACGGGAAAACUAAACCAGCCCGGACACUGUCAGAAUUGGCAGAUUGCUAGCCCUUUCUUGAUUUGGUGGUUGGCAAUGCAUGGCCGUUCUUACUCGGUGGAGACAUUUGUCUGGUAUAUUCCGAUAACGAACGGUACGCCUGUACUCUGUUCCUGUGCUGGCGGCGUUUUGACGAAACUGUUCACUUCACCUGACUACUUUAGGGCCGCGCAUUUCUCUGCGCGCGUGUGCUGCGAGCUCGCGUGUGGGGCAUGGACUGUGGUAGGAGGUGUGAUCGGUGGGUUCAGCGCUAGCCUCUGGGUACGGCGCAGGUGUGUCUACUUCUUAGAGAGACAAUCGUUACGAAUGUGCACGAAAUUGAGCAAUAACAGGUCUGUGAAGCCCUUAGAUCUCCGGGGCUGCACGCGCCCUACAAUGACGCUGCCAACGUGUCUGAUCUUCUGGUCCGAAAGGGUUGGGUAAACUGGUCAAUCACCGUCAUGAUGGGGAUCGGGUCUAGGAAUUGUUUUCCCGUGAACGAGGAAUUCCCAGUAAGUACAUGUAAUAAGCUUGCGUUGAUAACGUCCCUGCCCUUUGAACACACCGUCCGUCACAUCUGCCAAGUGAAUGGUUAAGUAAGGUCCACGGAUUGGCGAAAUUGAAGUGCCAGCUGAAAGGUUGGUGCUUGACAGGUGCCGAGAAUACGACCAAACUUGAUCAUUUAGAGAAAUUAAAGUCCUUACAAGGUUUCAACGGGUAAACCUGCUGAAGUUUCAUUA